ACUAUGAGUUUUAGGAGUAGUAAUACUUUAUUUACAGUACAGUAUUUACAGACUAGUAAUGAGUGGAGUGUUGUUUGAAGUAGUAGUUCCGAGUUGUAUACAUGUUCUGUAGAAGAAUGACGAGACGUCAUUUCUUAGGGCCGGGGUGUAUGUAGCCCUGUGAACAUUUCAAAAUUCUUUAAAAGUGUUGUCUGCUGCAUUUCUCAUAUUUUGUGUUGUCUGCUUCCCUUGAUUGAUAUUUGAUGUUGUGAGAAUAGCAAUCUGCAGGGUUUUGGCGCAUUUUAUUUCUUUGGUUUUAACUGAGAUCUAGAGUCAUUUCCAUAGAGCAUUUCUAUGUUUGAAGUAACCAGUUUCAUAGUUAUCACGGAUGUGAGUUGAGAGAUACAGAGGUUGCCAGUGAGAACACUCAGUUCCAUAAACUUUGUGUAGAAUCAUCAGAUUCAACUGUAAUGAACUGGAGCCAUUGUAAUAUAUGUGAAUCGUAUAAACAGUAAAAACUCGAAAGCACUAGUCUUUGUUAGUCAACACCGCACACUAAUCGGACAAUUGCUACGAACCACGGCUUGGUCUUGCCUCAUAAUAUAUUGACUAUUAUAGACCUUCAUAAAGGUCAGGGGUAAAGGUCGAACCAUUAUAGCUGCACUCUCACAGAUUGAACGUUUUGAAAAAGGUUAUAAUUUUUUUCUUGGAAUGAACCAAUGUAUGCAAAAUGCAUGGAAACCUGUGAUAUAAGACGGCUGACAAAAAACGUCUUUGAAUUCCCGUCAAACAUGUCCGAACCAAAUUCAAACUUUGGAUAAUCACUGUGAUUCACGAUGAAAUUCAGCACUUCUUGCCCAGUAUAUAUACGUUUACUUUAAGCGGAAGGCAAAUUAAAACAAACACAUUUGUCCGAAAAUUAAUCAAGCUUUAAAUGGUAGUAGAAUUGUCAUUUGUUCAUGUAAUUUUCAAGAAUCAGGAAAGGAAAUAAAUGUUCUCAUGUUGCCAAUUUAGUCUCGAUCAUCUAGACGCUUGUAUCCAGAUCUAUAUCGUUCAUUGACUCUAAUUAGAGCGGCUUCAUGAUUGAGACUAGCCGGUUCUUUGAUAAUUGUUACGAUCGAACAGUGGUUGAAAAUGUAAAGUGAGACCAGUUUUUACCUGUUAUUGAACA